rnacentral:rRNA from 1 species
UACGAAGGGGGCUAGCGUUGCUCGGAAUCACUGGGCGUAAAGCGCACGUAGGCGGCUUUUUAAGUCAGGGGUGAAAUCCUGGAGCUCAACUCCAGAACUGCCUUUGAUACUGAGAAGCUUGAGUCCGGGAGAGGUGAGUGGAACUGCGAGUGUAGAGGUGAAAUUCGUAGAUAUUCGCAAGAACACCAGUGGCGAAGGCGGCUCACUGGCCCGGCACUGACGCUGAGGUGCGAAAGCCAGGGGAGCAAACGGG